GUAAAGUUAGGGAAUGGAUGUAUAGCGGAGAGGGUAUGAGGUUGACGGCUAGGGCACCGGAUCCCUUCUCUCUCUCUCUCUCUCUCUGCAACUCUCGAGCUCCACCCGCCACCGUUUCCAUUCUACCCGCUAGUUUCUGGAACUGAUCUACUGUGAGAACUUUAAGACAAUGUCUGAAUCACUAGAAGAAUUUCGAUGCUUCAUUGGGGGCCUGUCAUGGUCAACAUCUGACAGCUCUUUGAAGGAAGCAUUUGAAAAAUUUGGCCAUCUUGUGGAUGCAAAGGUGGUUGUUGAUCGGUUCUCUGGUCGUUCUCGUGGCUUUGGUUUUGUUACCUUUGAUGAUGAGAAGGCUAUGGAAGAUGCAAUACGAGCAAUGGAUGGCAUGAGUCUCGACGGUCGAUCUAUUACCGUUGAUAAGGCUCAACCAUCUGGUAGGGAUCGUGAUGGUGGCUCUUACCGCGAUCGUGACCGUGGUGGUCGUGAUCGCGGCCGCGAUCGUGACUAUGGUGGCAGAAGGGGACCUGACAACCGGGGAGGGUGCUUUAAAUGUGGUCAGCAGGGGCAUUUUGCUAGGGAAUGUCCAUCUGGUGAAGGGGCUUCUGAUGACAAAUAUGACAGUGGCAGGGAAUAUGGUCGGGGUAGUGGAGGUGGCAAUCAUUAUGGUCCUGAUCGCAAUGGUGAUCGUUAUGGUGGGCGCAACAGGGAUGGAGGUAAUGGUGGCGGGAAUGGAACUGACCGUUAUGGUCGUGAUCGUUCUGGCCCAUAUAAACGACCUGGUGCAGGGGGCUAUCGUUCUUAGCUGUUUACACAUGCUUUGUGGAACUCAUGGUGUUUUUGCUGCUGGCAACUGCAAGGAACUUUUGUUUUCUAUAACUGGAAAUUACAGAUUAUCCUUGUGCCAAUGUGUGAGAUGAUCUAGUUUGCAUGCUUUUUUGCUGUUAUGUGGCUGGAAAGGAAACUGCACUGCUUUGUAUGGUUGAUUAUAUGGUGCUUCCUCAGGCUUGAUGCAUUUUCCAGUGUUUUUGGAUACAUGCUUUAGGCUUGGGUUUCUAAUCACAUUGGAAAUGUUAUUCUGAUGCGUGCAUUGGUUUUUUUGAAACAAAAGUUCUAAAAGUUGUGCUGUGGGCAACCUGGGCAGUGUCUAUUACCAAAGGUUUAUCACCUUUAUUAGAUUCUUCUUGUGGCUAUCCUGCUUUGAUAUAGUUGAAAGGUGAGGUUGGUCACUGCGAUAUUCUGGAGGUAGCAUAGUUGCCCACUGCUUCAAAACGACCUCAAAUUAUUCCCCUCCUGCAUUACACUAUUGUCGAGAUUGCCCCCCUGGCUGCAAUGGAUCAGCUGUCAACCAAAUAUUUGUGUUCGGUACUAGUUUGAAGGAGAAUUUUGAAAAGCCUUUAUGCCCAUGGUAGUUACAAAAGAUUGUCUCCAGGUCUCUUGUUCUUUGAGCAUCUCGUUCACCGGUCAGCUUUCUUGGGCAAGGAUUCUUUGGUCAGCUUCCCUGGUGCAUGGUUUCUUUCACUGUUUAUGGGUUGCGAGCGGACAAACAAAUCUGUUUAAAACUUGUUCUGUGGAUGUGUAUUUAUUGCCAAAGAAGAAUUCCAGAGUCAUACUACCGGUGCCUCAGCCUUGAGAUGGUCUACCUUUCUCAGACUGGUGGCCAGUGAUGCUGUUUGUGAUGUUUCAGAACAGGUACAUUUAUUCUAUAUAAAAUUGCUCUGCGACUUGACUGUUUAA